rnacentral:rRNA from 1 species
GAUGAACGCUGGCGGCGUGCCUAAUACAUGCAAGUAGAACGCUGAAGGAGGAGCUUGCUCUUCUGGAUGAGUUGCGAACGGGUGAGUAACGCGUAGAUAACCUGCCUGGUAGCGGGGGAUAACUAUUGGAAACGAUAGCUAAUACCGCAUGACAACAGUUAUUGCAUGAUAACUGUUUAAAAGGGGCAACUGCUCCACUACCAGAUGGACCUGCGUUGUAUUAGCUAGUUGGUGAGGUAACGGCUCACCAAGGCGACGAUACAUAGCCGACCUGAGAGGGUGAUCGGCCACACUGGGACUGAGACACGGCCCAGACUCCUACGGGAGGCAGCAGUAGGGAAUCUUCGGCAAUGGACGGAAGUCUGACCGAGCAACGCCGCGUGAGUGAAGAAGGUUUUCGGAUCGUAAAGCUCUGUUGUAAGAGAAGAACGAGUGUGAGAGUGGAAAGUUCACACUGUGACGGUAUCUUACCAGAAAGGGACGGCUAACUACGUG